GUGGUGGAACACUUGGUUAGCAUGCUCAAGGUCUUGAGUACAAUCCCCAGGACCACAGGAAAAGUGAAUAUGGUCUCUCUCUCCACCUAUUUACUCUUCAUCCAUAAAAGAGAAGAAGUUCUGUUUUCUGCUGAAACAUGGACGGAACCAGAGGACAUAAUGGUUUUAUGUAGCCCAGAUUGGCCUCAGGCUCACUGUGCGGCCAAGGAGGAUCUUAAACUACUGGUUCCUGUCUCUCGAAGACUAUUACACUACCACACCAAGUGUGCACUCUCAUCUUGCCCGGUUCUAGGACACAUGGUCUUCACGUCUUCAGGUUGCAGUGGACUUCUGUGGGACAAGCAACGUCAUGCCCUACCCAGGUGCCGGUGGAAACUAGAUUCAGUUCUUAAUGACUCUACUCCCUCACCAGCAAAUGAUUUAAAUGAGAUAGGAUCUAUGGUCUUCUUAAGUAAAUAAAACCUGGAUGGAGGCUUUCUGUAGCUGUCAACACUGUAGUAUCUUUCUAUCUUCCUUUCUCACCAUACUCAGCAUUGGACAUAUUCUCCGUGGGAUAGAAAGCCCUUCUCCACCCACACACGCCCCUUCCCCUGACAUCACUGUGAGGGAACCAUGGGUAAGGGAGGCUGGAAAAGGUAUCUCAGUCCUAUGUGCCAGGUAGAUAUUGGGGGUCCCUUUCUGAAGAAGAAAGAAGAGGAGGAGGAAAUGGAAGAGGAAGAAAAGAGGAGGAUGACGACGACGAAGAGGAAGAGGAGGAGGAAGUCUGUAGCAGGUUAAUAACAGCCAUGUGACAAACACCCUCCCCAUUGGCUGGUUAACACUGGAGAGUGCUCAACGUGGUGCUUGGUUCAGAGGCCCCUCCCAGGGUUUAAAUCUACCAGAGAAAAUAGGAGUUAUUUCAAAACGCUGCUGUGUCAUAUGAAUUUCCAAAAACAAAGGAAAGGCUUGGGAGAGGGGAAUAAGUAGGUGCUCUACUUCCUGCACUUACCACUGAAGUGUCUUCAAGAGGCUGAUUUCUCAAUCCCCGUGUGUCCUUCAGAAGAGAUGGAGACAGUAAGAAAACAAUCACAGGAACAGAAGAAUUGCCGUUGGCGUGCAUGCAACUGACUUCGAGAUUCUGCUUGGCUUCAAGCUCAGAGUGAUGGUCAUGCUAUGUCAAUAUUCCUGUAUGGAGGGAGGGAGGUGGCAGCCCGUCUGGCUUGUUACCUGUCAGGUAAUACCUGGAUGCAUGUUUUAAGUUAACACCGAGGAUUGCUAGAGGACAGUGAUGUCAAAGUAUCUGAGGACCACAUCACCUCGGUUAUACCACAUGACACAAUUUAGGGAUGCAACGAUCACCUUCAAAUAUUUGAUUAGUUGCAUGGGAGAGCGCCUGGAGAACUGAAGGUAGAGAUGGGCCUUGCCAUUCUCAGAUCAUGGUCCUGCUCCCUCAAACCUUCCCUGUGUCUUUUAUCUGUUCCUGCCCUCCUCUCUUCAGGUGGACUCCUCCCUUCAGAGGCUGAUCCCACCUCCUACAGGGCAGACCUUGAUGAUAGCCACCCCAGAAAUUUUUGUUUUUCUUCUUCCCAGAGGUGGUUAAUAGGAUUGAUUUCUCUCAAUCUGUCCUCAGUGACAGUGAUGUAGGUGAUGCUCCUCGGGUCACGGGGUCGGGAGGCAGUGUUGGUCACUCCUCUCAAAGCUGUGAUCAUACACACAGGUUGAUGCACGCAGUGAGGAUCUAUUUUGCUGUGGUUUCUGAGGAUUAGUCCACCAUAGCAGGAAAGGUGUGAUGAAAACAAUGGGUGUGGCAGGCCAGGAAACAGAGAGAGGGGAUGCUGGCACUUGGCUGGUGUUUUCCUUCUUUCCUUCCUAUUCCUUUGGGACCUCUAGUCCAUGAGAUGUUGCUAUCAGAGCAGGUUUCUCCUGAGUUAAUCUCUGGAAAUGCACACACACACACACACACACACACACACACACACACACACACACAGGGCUGCCUUAUCAAUCUCCUAGUUUUUUUGUUUUUUUUUUUUCUAAAUCCAGUCACAUCGGCAAUGAAGAUGAGGACUCUCAGGGCUCCAGGAUUACAGAGGUUGAAUGACAUUCUCAAGCUCACAGAGUUACCACAAGAUAGAACUUGGAUUCAGUUCUCAGUCCACAAACCGAGAGCCUUCAGAUUCACAUCCAUGAUGUUAAACAUCCUAUUUCAUUCUCAUCUGACACCUUAAUUCAGGCCGCUUUCACUUUUCUCAGGAUUUAGCUCCAUGCCUCUGAGCUUUGCGCCACAUUCAGCAUUCUGCUGGAAGUAGACUCAAACACUUCAGCCUCCCGGCCUUGGACGCUUCCGUUGAUGUUUCAAAAUGAGACUCGUGAAACUGGAAGCCUCCCUGAAGGCGAGGCUCAAACCUCGAGGGCAGAAUCCCAGCUUUUGUGAUCAGACACCCAGGAUGCUGCCUCCGAUACCUCACCAGGAUGCUGCCUGGGAUAGCUCGGGCAUCGCUAAUGGUGCCAAGAGAUGACACAGAGUCACGAGGACGCAGAGCUAACAGGGAAUGAAUGCUUGAGACAGGAGUAGAGGGAACUCAUUACAGCACAAAACAGUUCACCGCCCAAAUAGAGUCUCUGGCCCCGAGGAGCUGGUAUUUCUCCGUGCUGAAUACACAGAAAGGAAAGCAAGGUGAUCACAUGACACCUGGCUGCUCUCUCAGCAGGCAGCUCCCGCAGCCAGGAUCAGACUGCUGGGUCUUCAGUAUAGCCUUCCCAAAUUCUUGGGUUAGAAAUAAUCCCUGGGCUGGAGAGAUGGCUCAGUGGUUAAGAGCACUGACUGCUCUUCCAGAGGUCCUGAGUUCAAAUCCCAGCACCCACAUGGUGGCUCACUGCCAUCUGUAAUGGGAUCUGAUGCCCUCUUCUGUUGCAUCUGAAGACAGCUACAGUAUAGUUAUAUAUAAUAAAUAAAUAAAUCUUUUAAAAAAAUCUAAUCCCCAAAUUCAUAUGUUGAUGGUAUUUGGAGGGGGGAACUUUGAGAGGUAAUUAGGGUGGAGGAGUCUCCCUGGGGGAUCAGUGAUGCUGACACCAUCCCUUGAAGUAUGCAGCCCUCCAAACUGUGCAAAACAGGCUGUGGGGCGAGGAGGGUGGCCCCGUGAGGAAGAGUGUUCCCGAUGCAAGCUGGACUUGAGUUCAAAUCCUGAAAGCUAUGUGAAAAGGCAGGAGGGGAUCACCAGAUGCUGGUGUGGUUGAUAAAUACAUGUAACCAGUGUUUCUGGAAUGAUUGGAUAUAGUCACAAGCUUAAUUAUUUAUCAGUUUGUGGUUCCUGGUAUGUUGGCAGAUGGUGGUUUCUUUUCGAGUAUAAAUAAGAGGCAGGAUCGUUCUAUUUCAGUCAUUAUGCUGAAAUGAUGGUUGACUUACAAAAUGAAGCAAUUCAAGGCUGGACACACCCUGUAGGCUUUUGUUCUGUAUGACCUAGAAUAGGGUUCUGAGGUGAGGGGAGGAAAGAGAGAACUAUGUGCAGCCACUGCCUUGGUUUCCAUGUUUCUCUUGGCUCAGUCACUCUGGGGGAAUGAAGAAGCUACCACAUCCUGAAGACUCGCAGGCAGGGAGUAAGAGGCUGGGAGGAGCUGUGUCUCUGGGCAGUCAACCAGAAAGGAACUAAGCUUGUAGUGACCACAUGACUGAGUUUGCAGGCAGAUCUUGCCCCAGCAGUGUUGGUAUAACUUCAGUCUCAGUGAAUGAUUCCGCUGAGACCACAGGCCAGAGCCACCAGAAGGCAAGCCAGGUUUCUAACCGAUAGAACUGAGAUGACACUCAUUGUUUUAAACUGCUGAGUUUAAGAGUAGUUCACUAUACAAUGACACAAACAAACAAACAAACAAACAGGCAUUUCCUUUCUUGGUUUUGCACUUUUCCUAGGGGAAAAAAGUGAAUAUAUGCUUUCAACAGAGACCUCCAAGAAGGUCCAACUCCAGGAGAUGAGACCCAGGCAAACGAUCAGCUUGAAAGAAGCUUCCCUUGAGGCCUGGGGAGAGAUUCACAGGGUUGGGACUUUUCCAGGCCGUGGGAAGAGUUGCUGUGGACUGUGAACUUAUACUUACUCCUGAACACAAUUUCGCGAACCUCUUUGGUGCAAAUGCUAACCAGACAAUUUAAGGACCUUGAAGUGCUGCAGAAACGGAGUUCCUUUAGUGCCCCCGCCAGCGGGGACCCCGACACUUUAGCUAUUCUGAAACUUCAGAGAACAGAAGGAGUUCUCAGGCCUCUGGCUUUUCAAUUGAGACAAUUCCUGGUGAUGCUUUUUGGAGUAAGGACUGAGCAGGCACUUGGUACUGAUUCCUCAUACACUCCCUGUGAGUCGCACCUCACCCUGUCUACCAUACGAACACUUCCAAGUCAGGAAGGUUUCUGACAUGAACAAAAGGCAUCCCACAAGAAUUCACGAGAGCACAAUCCCACAAGGGUGUGUGCGCACAAGAACACAACGCCACUUGGUUUUUCUGAUAAACUCACUCAUUGGUGGGUCCAGAACUGCAGGCUCCGAGCUACUCACCUGCACAUACCAAGAUGAGCUCCUCCACCUUGCUUCCUCUCCAGGAAACCUGUAGCUAAAAGCAUCAGUUUCCUGAAGUACUGCUGAUCUAGGUUAAGGCUUUUCUCUUGCCUUUGAAGUGUAGAUUCAGAACCUCUGGGGAGCUUCUAUUUUAAAGGUACAAGAAUAAGGCUGUUUCCUUCCUUUCAGAAGAACACAAGGUACAAACAAACCAGGAGGGGUGGAGGCGGGCUGCCUGGUCUGAGGUCAGGAGUCAGCAGCGGAGUGGAGAAGCAUCCCUUUGCAAUGCAUGGCCUCGAAGUAUGCAAAAUCAUGCCAAGUUAAUUUGGUGCAGCUGGGGAGGAUGGGAGGCUCUGUCAGAGUCUGUUGUUUGUGAGCCAACCACCUCAUUUCUCCAGCUGUUAGAGAGAGAGAGAGAGAGAGAGAGAGAGAGAGAGAGAGAGAGAGAGAGAGAGAGCACUAAAGGAAACAAAGAUGUAGAGGAAAUGAAGACGUUAGAGCCAGAAGCCAGUUUCUGCCAACAGGAACAAGAGGGGCGAUUGUGCUUCUCAUUCAGUGGCAACGUUGUCAAAAGGCACGAGACUCCAAUACGCGCUGAGACUGCAUGAGGGCCCCUCCAUGGGGAGUGCCAGAUGCGACUCUUUCAGAACCUCAGGUCUCAGAAGACUGGUCCCAGAAUGUCAGGGAGUGGCUAGUUUCUUGGUGGCCUCUCCAAGUAAGAGGAAAUGCAAACAUUGUGCCUGCUCUGUAGCUCUCUCAAAACCAGUGCAAAUGCAAGUCUUUCUCAGUGUGGGUCACACUUUUCUCUCAAUGUUAAUUAAAAACAGUCCUGGUCUUGUUUCAGGAAAGAUUCCCAGGACAGUAGCC